ensembl:lncRNA
GCCAACACUCAGCAGAGCAAAACUUUUGAUGGUGCUAACUCAGUUUCAAUCUGUGAUCUUUAUGGUUUUAGGAAAUUAAUGUACUAUACCAUGUUUCUCUUAAAAGACCUGGGUAAAUAAACAUGAACCAAUAUAACAUUUAUUUUAUAUUAAUAUUCAGUACAUAUAUUAAUUCAGAUUAAAACUUUUUUACAGAGUAUUAUUUCUUUAAUAUUUGCAUCUGAUCCACAGUAAUAUAGUACUAAUUUUAAUGAGAAAUACAAAUUAGAACUUUUGCUUUCAUAAUAGCUCAUCCAAUUAACAUUUUUACAGACAAAGAACUACNNNNNNNNNNNNNNNNNNNNNNNNNNNNNNNNNNNNNNNNNNNNNNNNNNNNNNNNNNNNNNNNNNNNNNNNNNNNNNNNNNNNNNNNNNNNNNNNNNNGAACUACUAUAAAUAUGUAACAUUAUGCAGGCUUUUCUUCUGCACCUGUUCACAAAUCAGAAGGAAUAUACUUUAAAACUACUUAGAAACCAAAUGCUAUCAAGCUGCCCCUGUAUUUAUAUGACCAGCUGCCUGUGCGUUUAUAUGACCAUCUCCCCACACCUGGCAAAAUGAAUUCCUGUCUCUUUCGUCUCCCCCGCAGUGCAUCACAGUGCUGCGUCCCUGUGGCUCUUUCUUUAACCCCUGUCCCAGUUUCAGUUGCUGCUGUUUCCCAGAUUGGGCUUUUCAAGGGCAGACAGCCUGUCCCCUUUAUCAGUGUUUGGGAUGUGUCAUACCCAAAACAUUGAAUAAAUUGAGUUCAACUUAAAUUUAAGUAGUUGCUUUCUGUUACAUUUUUUGUUAACUAAGGAUUACAAAAUAAUCUUUUCAAAAAUGUACCAUAAAAUGUACUAUAUACUGAAAACUUGAAUUCUGUAUAAUAAGAAACUAAGUUACACAAUAAAACAUCACAGGAAUUUUAACCUAAAGAACUCUAAACCUUAAAUAAAGAUGUUUAAAAAUGCAGAAAGGGCAGCAGAGAAGUCCACCCCUAAUGUAUUGAGUAUCAGGUGAAAUUAAAAAGCAGACUUCACACAUCUGAAUAAAGUUGACAUUAAAAUGAUCUUUUCAAACAAUGGGAUUCUGAAACCUAACAAUUAUGUUAAAAAUUCUGUAAACUGUUCCCCCUUCAAAUUAAUUCUUAAACUAUAAAAAAAUAAGGCAACUUGAAGUUAGAAACUUACAGAUGAAGUUAACUCUGGAUUUUUUGCAGAAGCCAGAUUGGACUGGUGCCCUCUCACAAUCUGUAUUUCUAAAAGCCUUUAGCAGGAAGGUGAGUCACACAUACUGGUGAAAUAACGUAUUCUCUCAAAAAUACAUCAAUCGAAUGUCUAAGGCUUCACUAAAUAGUAGACCAAUUAAGAUCACAAACUUCGUGCUGUCAAAUAGAUUAUCUUCAAAGAAAAUUAUGCAGACAGUUUUCUGAAGAACUCCAUUUGUGCCACAUGCUUAUUGUUCUUUGAGGUGGAGGAGGUGGCAGGGAACCUAAUUUCUACUUGAAUGUUCUUUUGUUUCCUGCUGCCUUUACUUAAAUGUUACCAGGGACUAUUUUUAUACCCUGUAAAGUACUUUGAGAAAAUGUUAAGUGGCUAGUGCUACACAAAAUAGAGGAGGAUUUUCUUAUUCUUGUUGUAAAGCAAACUGAAUAACACAACUCUCAAAAGGGGGAAUAUAAUGUGCUGAAAAAUCAUCUGAUAAACCAACUAGCCUUGUAAAAUUCUGAGUUCAAGAGAAACUGAAUCCCAGCUAAUUGAUGAAUAUUCAUUAAAAGCAUUUAUACCACAGCAAAUUUAAAGGAAAAUUAAUGUGUUAUUAAAUUGCAUUUUGUGAUAUUUUAAUACUAUCAAGUGGAUGUGAAUUGAAUAAGAACCUAUUUACAUUCCCUUCAUGUCUUACAUAUAAGGUCAAAUUGCUUAAAAUAAAAAAUAUUUUAUGAAAGACUCCUAAGUCAUCUGAUUCUUGAUUAUUUCUAUAAGAGCAAAACAAUUUACAUCAUCUUAGAAUUCACAGUAGUAGAAUUUGGCCAUGUAGCAGAAUAAUCAGAUUGAGACCAGUGCAUUUCUGGAUUCCUUUUUCAAACUGGAAUCCUACUUACUUAAUUCACCAGAUAUUCUCAAUAGAAAAGAUUGAGGAGAAACCAUUUAAGAAUGAAUGCAAAUAAAGUACACAUUUCAUCACAAAAACACUCAAUUAUAAUACAUUCUAACCAAAUAUGUAUUACACCACAAAGGGAAAAAAACAAUAGAAACCUAGGACUACUUAGUCUUAAAAAAUAUUCAUUACACAUAUUUAUCUCACAUGUUUUUAAAACUCCCAAAUAAAUAUACCUAAACACUUGAAAAUAUUUUCAGUAACUGGUAAGUGCUCUACUUUUUGCUCAUUCAUGAGAAAUUACUAAAAACUUACAAUCAAGUAUAUUGGCUUGAGCCAUCCUUGCAGUAAAUGAAGGCAGGAUUCUUCAAAACUGUAAAACGCACCAACUUUAGUCAGUUUUUAAAAAAAUUGCUCACUUUUAAAUAUGUAGUUGCUGGUAGCUGUCCAAGUCCAUUAGCACCACAUAUAGUGAAUUAAAAAGUAUUUUUAGGGAGGAUGACUUAGCAGUCUUUUGUUUAAGAAUUAUAUAAUUAAAAGAAAUUGAUCUCUUGGGUCAUGUUUUGAAAGAUCCACUUUUCAUCUUGCUAAACUGAAGGACUGGUAGUUUCCUUCCCUGCACUCCCCUCCCCACAAGGUUAUAAGCAUGAAGGGNNNNNNNNNNNNNNNNNNNNNNNNNNNNNNNNNNNNNNNNNNNNNNNNNNNNNNNGUUAUCUGGUUCAGUUCCAAAGUCACAUUUUCUGCCAGAGGUCUCAAUAGGUACUUAAAGGAAGAAACUAGAUUCUAAGGGACAAAUUAGCACAUACUUUCUGUAUGCAAUCCAUAAAUAAUGCAGGAAGUCACCAGAUCAUUUUAAAUCAUCUAACGUACAUUCUUUUCUUUAAGAACAUACGAAUACCUUUAACAAGUACCUUACAACUCAAGUGAAACUUCUUUGCUAUUUCAUCUACUUUCAGAGUGACACUGUUACUCAAUAGGGGACUGUACAAUGUGAACCCUGACCUGUGAGGUAGGGAGUGUAUUGCAGUCUUAUGGCCAUUUCACACAAGGAAAGGUUGAAACAAUUACUUUUUAUAAAAAAUAUGGCUAUCACUGAGAUCGAUGAUUUAAAUAAAACACUAGCCCUUCUUGCUAUAUUAAGUUCAUUUUUUUGUGUAAGGGAUUAGCUGGACUAAGUACUGAUGAAAAAGUAAAUUUUUAAUAUUCAUGUAAAAUGUUUACUGGUGUCUCUCAACACAUAGGCACAAUGAAGGAAUACUAGCAUUUAAAAUAUAAUGUACUUCAGUAAUAACUUUCCACUUUCUAUUCAGCUAUGUGUUUGGCUCAUUCUUGAGCAAGCAUGAGUAAUAUUUUCAUUAAAUUAUUGUGAUUUCCUAAUAAAUCACAAUCCAAC